rnacentral:rRNA from 1 species
CUUUUUUGUAAGAUCAUCAUGCUAAAAAACACCCUUAGUAUCUACCGAACUGAGUUCUGUCGAGGGGACGGGUGCGCGAGGGGACGCAAACGGACGGUGAGCAAUAGGAGGCGGCGGCUGGAGAGCGGCAGGCUGCGUAGGGCGUCGCCAGAAGCAGCCCGAGCCCUAAGUGACUCCAGCUGCCGCGGGUCCACGUCCACGAACGCCGGUAGGGGAGCAGCCUCGAGCCGCUCGAAGGGAGUCGGGCUCACACUGCGAAGCGAGGCAGGGACGAGGCAAGGAGGCACCUAGGUUCUAUUCAAACUCAAGUCAAGUCAAGUCUGUCGUCACUUGGGGGAGGAAGUUAGUCGUCUGUGUUCGUGUCCCUGGUAGAAGGGACGAUAGGAAGUGUCCCUGGCCGUGUAGAGGCGGCUGGUUCGUGGUUAGUAGAUGUGAUAGAAACUCACCCUUGCCUCGUCGUCCAGAAAUCCGACCUUUAUGAAAUAACUACUUUCACCGAAUGAGAAGUCACGACACAUAUAUAUAACAACCGUGUCUUGACUCGAAGAGCUUUAUAGUACUUACCCUUAGAGCAGGACAAGGUCCUGUCUUGUUUCGUACGUCAUAUGUAAUUGUUCUUAAAUUUUCUAAAGUGUCUUCUACGAUAACUUUCUUAAUGAUCGUUGAUGUCGUAAGGAUAGCCUUUUCCACCAAAACCUCUUCAGAAAUUUCCUCAGGAACUACUACUCGAUCAACGACACUUCUCUAUAUAGGCGGUUCUCAACUCUCUUCUCAAAUACCUACUUCAUUCGUAGGUAUCAGUUUACUCGGUGUCCUUGCACCACUUAGAGUAACCGAUAACAUAACCCCUUUUAUGGGAUUGUUACCAUUGACUCAAAUAGAGGUUUCCUUUGGAGCUACUGUAUGAAGUGUUGUCAUCAUGAAGGUAGGGAAACCUAUAUUCUAACCCAUAACGAUAUCCGACACGUCUUCGUAACUCGAUGUACGUAAGCUACGUAAAUAGUCCACUGUUGGAACAUACAGUACCGCUAUAAUUUGGACGGUUGUAUGAAGAUCUACGGUUAGAAUGUCGUUUUCAUAGUCUAAAACCUGACAGCUCCGAAGAAAAUCCUCCGUAGUGAGUUAUGUGAUCCUUACAUUUUCCUUCAUAUCUAAUGUACCUAGGAUAUAUAGAAGCUCUCCCUGCAGAAUGGGGUUUCUCACUACAUAUAUCAAAACCUCGUCACGAGAACCUUAAUUAUCGAUCCUUUUCCCAUUUUCUCCCAUCGACAUCGGAGUAUAGCUGAAAGUCAUUACGGGCACCAUUUCCACUUACCAGCUCCCUGGAAAAACUGUCUCUUUAUUAAUCACGUCCGUUAUAUUUCUAAGAACUCCUUUAUCCUUUUGACCGUUGACUUACGGACUGUAACCUGUAAGUAUUUGCAGGGUCUUAAUGACUACACCGAUUUGCGGAAAAUAACGACACCUCUGUUCUUUUUGCCCUCAAGAAAAAAUCUUGUCUUUCACAACCGUGUUCGUUGAAUUACUCUACAAACCCGUCAAAACUCUACCUACAACGGUUAAGACUCUAUGAUCGUUUCGAACCGUUGUACGCUAAAAAGUGACUCUUCGUCGAUUAACUUCAGUGUGCCUUGAAGAGUACAGAUACAUCACUUCCAACCAAUCGACUCCAGAUGUUUCCGUGAGAUCUCCUAUUGUGUCACCACCGUCAUUUCUUUAGACAACUACGUAUACUCCUCGUAUAUUAAGUAAAACAGUUACCUCACUACUAGGUACGAGUUGAGUAGGUGUGCUUAUAGUAGUUUGACAAGCCGCAGACGAACCUCCAACCAUAAGGUUAAAAGGAUAUACUCAUACGACGACUUCCGUUAGAAAGUCUGGAGGACUUACCAUCGUUUGUAAAGGGGGACCUUAACGCCGACCUCUAACGUUAGCCUUGACGUUUUCGUAAUCGUAUGUACGUGAGUAGACUAAGACCAACGUAGUCUGUACCAUCACAGUUGGGAAGGUUAUAUGAAGAUCUAGUAUUGAAGAGCGGUUUCCAGAGUCCAAAAAGUGAGAGUUCCCGCGAAUGGUAACUCAUGUUAAUACUACUGAGACAUCAGCAAGCUUCCGUGAUGUCGCUGGGUUCGAAGCAUGUUACACCCGAAGAAUGUCAGUUUUCGCUACACAUGUCGAAGCCCUAAUAAGAGUACCUUGAGUAAUCGUCCUUCGAGAGUUGUAUACUACUUCUAACACUUGAUUGUCUGGAACAAUAGGACAUAUUGUUUCGUAUACUAAGUCUCUUCUCUCCUCGCCGCUACAAACUAUUCCUAUAGUGUCGGCUAUUUCUGUAGUAUGACGAACUUCUGUAACCCUUCGAUCGUUAACUCACGUGCUUUGACCCUGGUCUAGAAUCCGGUUGUUACUUCCUCCACCGUCUUGCGGAGCUCUAAGAAUCUCGUAGAACCCCGUUUCGAUCGGUUCCCUCCAUCAACCUAGACCCCGAUACCGUUUACGGUGACCUUCCUCCUGUUGGGACAAAUUUUGUAAACACGGCGACUUCGAAGUACUAAUGGCGAGAGACUCGAGUCGAGUGUUAAGAUUAUAACAAAACAAAACAUCACAAUACUAAAUACAUUAGAACCACCUCUUCGUAGUUCGGAAAACGACAUUAGAACAGACCUACACACACUUGUUUCAAAGUCUCUCGACCUCUCUCCUACCGCGAGAGGAGAGCGCUGGCUCGACCGCUGCGUGGCCGGCGCUGGACGAGCGGACGCGCCGGCAGAAGCGGCGGCAGAGGC